rnacentral:rRNA from 1 species
GACGUAGGAGGCGAACGUUAUUCGGAUUUACUGGGCGUAAAGGGAGCGUAGGCGGUUCCUUAAGUCAGAUGUGAAAUCUUCUGAUUCAAUCAGAAGGCGUCAUUUGAUACUGAGGGACUUGAGAGCAACAGAGGGAAAUGGAAUCCCCAGUGUAGCGGUGAAAUGCGUAGAUAUUGGGGAGAACACCAGUGGCGAAGGCGAUUUCCCAGGUUGUUUCUGACGCUGAGGCUCGAAAGCGUGGGGAGCGAAGCGGAUUAGAUACCCCCGUA